UAUGGUCUACAGGAAAUGAAGGCUCGGGCUGGCGGUUGGUUUGCGCUGCUCAUUUUCUAACCUAACAAAUAAUUUUUUAAAUAGUGUUUUUUUGGACCCCUUGUUUCACACCAAAAAAAUUAAGGGGUGUCCUGUAGACCAUAUUAUUUU
rnacentral:telomerase_RNA from 1 species